rnacentral:piRNA from 1 species
UACUUUUAAGUAAUGGUUGGAGAGG